CGCAAGUGAAAUACCACUACU
rnacentral:sRNA from 1 species